UACGUAGGGGGCAAGCGUUGUCCGGAUUUAUUGGGCGUAAAGAGCGUGUAGGCGGCCAGACAGGUCUGCUGUGAAAACUCGAGGCUCAACCUCGAGACGCCGGUGGAAACCGUCUGGCUAGAGUCCGGAAGAGGAGAGUGGAAUUCCUGGUGUAGCGGUGAAAUGCGCAUAUAUCUGGAGGAACACCGGUGGCGAAGGCGGCAUCCUGGACCAUUACUGACGCUGAGUGAGCGAAAGCCAGGGGAGCAAACGGG
rnacentral:rRNA from 1 species